AACGAAGUUAUAAGAAACUUCUGCCUCUGCCAUUAAGAGCUCUCAUUAGCUCUCCUUAGAAGGACAAUGGGGAACCAGAGAAAUAAUUUGAACAUGAUAAUCCCAUGAAUACUCGAAGCAAGGUUUGGAAACCUGAAAAGAUCCUAGGUAGUCACAAAGUGGUUCAGCACAGAAGCUGAGGUCUUAGAAUCUAAGAGAAAACAAGGGGCUCUACCCAAGGCAGCAGAAAGAAGGAAAACCGGAGGGACGGAAUCUCUGGUCCGGCCAAGGAAAGUGAGAGCAGCCAGUAGGCCAGGUGGUGCCCGUGGGAGACGGAUGGUAGGGCCAAGUGCCAGUCGAGAGCCAAAGAGAGGAGAAAAGAAGUGUCCUCGGGAACUGUAAGGUUCUGAAUGUGAAUGAGUCAAGGUGCCUUGAGAUGAUGAGAUGAAGUAAGAUGUAAAAAUAUCUUAAACAUCUUUCCUUAAUACAGAAAGCUAACUAUAUGAAAUGAGAGGUGCGUUUAAAGGCUGUCAAAAAGAGAAUCUUCUCGAAGACAAAUGGUAUACCUCUUUGGCCAGUCACAAUUCCUAAUGAUGUCAUAAUUCAAAUACACCUACCCUGCCCUCAGGUCUACAACGGGCUCCUCAAACUGUCUCACAACCUUACGACCCUGGUCACGACUAACCGGACCGGCAGUGAGCCGUCGGUCCAACACCAGGAAACUCAUUUGCGAGUCAGCGGCAAUAUUUUCCUUCUCAAGAAUUUCUAUGAAGACUAUCCUCAGAAGGUAGAGAUUCUGUGGGUUCCCAAGGUCCACACUGUAGGAUACGGAGAUGGAUAAGUAGUGAAAUCCUGUCCUCGGAGAAGGAGAACAGGGCAAAAGUGAACCAGGGCAGAACCCUGAGAGCUGCAGAAAAGCUAGAAAGGCUUCCAUGGCAUUAUUUUACCCAUUGAAAAUCACUGCUUAGAAUUAUUAACCGUUCCAUUGAUUGUCAUACCCCUCAUCUUUCGUCUUCCUUGUUCUCCAAAGUAAUGAAGAAUGUUCUGCACAACACUCAAGGGGAAACGGGGAUACACAUUUCCUCAUGUCACGAGGUGAAUUCUAGCAGAGUUAUGAAAAAAAGUUGAGCAGGAAAAAAAGUCGUAUUGUUGAUACAACAGAAGAAAAAAAAAUGGAUAAUUUUGCUCCUGAAUUUCAGGGGAAUACAAGUUCCAAGGGGAGAAAAAUGUUCUGCCUAAAAGAAAAAUCUUUUUAAUAACCCUGGGCUGCAAUGUACACAAAUCACAAAGGAAGAGAAGGCCUAGUUUAUCAGACGGCCGUUUCCAGGUCCCACAGAGAGGCCCGGAGAUGAGCAAUCAAAUAAAACCGUAAUUAGAUGAUAUACUUGACAACUGUUUGGGACUUUUCUUUCUUUCCAACAAAGUAACUAGUAAGAAUCCAUCGUUCUUAUUCAGCAAGAGAGAAAAUCUUUAGAAGAAAACGAUGACCAAAAACUUAGGGGCGACAUUCUACAAAGAAGAGCGGCCAGCUGGCUGGAAGUCACAGCUGAUGUGGAACUAACCAGGCCGUCACAAGGACUUUCAUAAAACCAAUUAUUUUCAGAGAACACAGAGCACAAAGGACAAUCCGUAUGGGUUUGAAAGGACCAGCAAAAAAAAAAAAGAGCUGAAGACGUUCACUGUGUUUUCACCUCAAAAUCUUUUUACAUUGCUUUAACAGAAGGCAUGUCUUCUCAGUGGUUAAGUUUAUACGCUUACACUGGGAGGGUUUCUUCUCCAAGUGAGGGGCUUUAAAUUAUCACAACAACUACAAUUUGAGCAGCAUGUCCAGAAAAAAAAAAAAAAACAAAACCCUGUUCUUAACAGAUAUUUCUGUACAAGGUACAGUUUAUGCUAAAUCUAGAUACCAACAUUUGGUAUCUAGAAUAGACCAACAUUUGACCAGAAUAGACAGAAGGCAUCUAUUCGGUAUGAAUGUCUUAUUCAUAACUGUACCUGGAUGAGUGGCAUUUAAAUCUGGAUUUUAACUUUGAAAAGGUCUGAACCUAAUGGCAAUGUGAGAAUUGUAAACAAAGUACCUUAACUUAAGCAUAAAUGUAUAUAAUUAUGGUGAGAUAUCAUUGAGUAGAUUGGCAUUGACUGGGUAAGGCUAUGUUCUGUGGAGGUUAAAAUAGCUAAAUUUAGACACAGAUUUGUUGAGUAGCACAUACUAGCAAGAUGACCUUGGUCAAGGCAGUUUGCCUUCCCAAUUUCCUUACCUAUACAAUGCCAAUAAUAGGAGGACCUACCUCAUAGUCUUGAUAGGAAAAUUAUGUGAAAUAGACUGGUUAGCACAAACCUAACUCACACUAGGUAGGUACUCAGUCCUCGAGCAUGAUGGUAAAGAUGGUUUACCAUUGUGAUCGUCACAAUGACAUCGGUCUCUAGCUGCUCCUCAUUGUGGGUCAGCUCUGAAUAUUUGCUCUGUCCUGUCUCCUAAUUCUCGUUUUCAGUGGUAUUUGGUGCAUGUUCAGCACCUUUGCUCUUCAUAGAAAGCCCUUUGUCUUUACACCACAAAUAGGGAUAUGUAGAGUUCUCCUGCACCACCGUCCCUACGCCAAUUUUUCUUUCCCCCACUAUGUCUUAUAAAAGUGAGCCUCUUGCUUCACUCGCUAGCACAGGAAUGACAUACAUCUGCUCAUCUGACACUAUCAUCCUUUUCCGCCUAUGUACUCUAGGCUAAAAGCACCACCACCCCUCUGGAAUAUACCUGGGCAGUAAAUUCCCCAACCGUGUGGAAUCAUGAUUCUCCUGGGUAACACCUGCCUCUGACAAUUUAGAGUGCAUCACUGCUACAGUCUUUUGUAACUGGUUGAUGGAACAACAACAACAACAACAACAACAAAAAUAAAAAUGAAGUUGUCAAAUUCCAAACUGUAGGAUAAAUGAGUUUCAAAGGACCUGAAGAUGUAUCUUAUGUUAUGAAGAGGAAACUGAGGCUAAGAGAGAGGAGAUCAAUUGCUGCAGGCACAGGCAUGUGCACUACCCGGAACGGCUAUGAAGGCUGCCUUCACCAAGCAACUUUGACUCCUUGCCCGGAUGACUGCUUCCCUCCGGAUGCCUGAUGCCUUCUCGUGAAAACGGAAGAACCAGUCGCCAGCACCCAUUUCCCGGCAAGAUCUUCUCUGAGACGCACUUGCAGGGUAUACUUUGGAAGAAGGUGAAGUUGUUGGGAAAGUCUCCAACGGCCCCCACACCCUGGUCCUCCGCGCACUUGAACCGUCCCCUGACUCCGACCCCCAGGCUGAUGUCCACCCUCACCUCACUCCUCUGAGCUUACUUCCUGUUUUGUGUGAACCGAAGGCGAUGAUACUGGUCCCAAAGAGUUCCUGUGAGAAGGACAUCCUGAUAGUACACCGGAGGCACUCACCAGCAUGCAUCACCUCAGUUAUGUGGAAACCAAGGGAAGCACGAGAGCGGAGCACUCACGACUGGGAUGGGCGCCCUUACGAGAAGAGACAGAAGGAUCCCUCUCUCUAUCAUGUCAGAACACUGCAAGAAUGCAAGCAGGGAGAGAGGACUCCCCAGGAACCCAAUCAACCGGCAUCUUGAUCUUGCUGUUCCCAGUCUUUGGAACUGUGAGAGGGGCGCCUGGGGGACUCAGCCGGUUAAAGGUCCGACUUCAACUCAGGUUAUGAUCUCGCGAUUCGUGUGGGUUCGCGCCCCGCUUCGGGCUCUGUGUUGACA